rnacentral:rRNA from 1 species
CCCUGUGAACAUACCACUUGUUGCCUCGGCGGAUCAGCCCGCUCCCGGUAAAACGGGACGGCCCGCCAGAGGACCCCUAAACUCUGUUUCUAUAUGUAACUUCUGAGUAAAACCAUAAAUAAAUCAAAACUUUCAACAACGGAUCUCUUGGUUCUGGCAUCGAUGAAGAACGCAGCAAAAUGCGAUAAGUAAUGUGAAUUGCAGAAUUCAGUGAAUCAUCGAAUCUUUGAACGCACAUUGCGCCCGCCAGUAUUCUGGCGGGCAUGCCUGUUCGAGCGUCAUUUCAACCCUCAAGCACAGCUUGGUGUUGGGACUCGCGUUAAUUCGCGUUCCUCAAAUUGAUUGGCGGUCACGUCGAGCUUCCAUAGCGUAGUAGUAAAACCCUCGUUACUGGUAAUCGUCGCGGCCACGCCGUUAAACCCCAACUUCUGAAUGUUGACCUCG